UACGGGGGGGGCAAGCGUUGUUCGGAAUUACUGGGCGGAAAGGGCGCGUAGGCGGCCUUCUAAGUCGAACGUGAAAUCCCUGGGCUCAACCCAGGAACUGCGUCCGAUACUGGAAGGCUUGAAUCCGGGAGAGGGAUGCGGAAUUCCAGGUGUAGCGGUGAAAUGCGUAGAUAUCUGGAGGAACACCGGUGGCGAAGGCGGCAUCCUGGACCGGUAUUGACGCUGAGGCGCGAAAGCCAGGGGAGCAAAUGGG
rnacentral:rRNA from 1 species